AAUGGGUCAGCGACUUAUAUUCUGUAGCAAGGUUAACCGAAUAGGGGAGCCGAAGGGAAACCGAGUCUUAACUGGGCGUUAAGUUGCAGGGUAUAGACCCGAAACCCGGUGAUCUAGCCAUGGGCAGGUUGAAGGUUGGGUAACACUAACUGGAGGACCGAACCGACUAAUGUUGAAAAAUUAGCGGAUGACUUGUGGCUGGGGGUGAAAGGCCAAUCAAACCGGGAGAUAGCUGGUUCUCCCCGAAAGCUAUUUAGGUAGCGCCUCGUGAAUUCAUCUCCGGGGGUAGAGCACUGUUUCGGCAAGGGGGUCAUCCCGACUUACCAACCCGAUGCAAACUGCGAAUACCGGAGAAUGUUAUCACGGGAGACACACGGCGGGUGCUAACGUCCGUCGUGAAGAGGGAAACAACCCAGACCGCCAGCUAAGGUCCCAAAGUCAUGGUUAAGUGGGAAACGAUGUGGGAAGGCCCAGACAGCCAGGAUGUUGGCUUAGAAGCAGCCAUCAUUUAAAGAAAGCGUAAUAGCUCACUGGUCGAGUCGGCCUGCGCGGAAGAUGUAACGGGGCUAAACCAUGCACCGAAGCUGCGGCAGCGACGCUUAUGCGUUGUUGGGUAGGGGAGCGUUCUGUAAGCCUGUGAAGGUGUGCUGUGAGGCAUGCUGGAGGUAUCAGAAGUGCGAAUGCUGACAUAAGUAACGAUAAAGCGGGUGAAAAGCCCGCUCGCCGGAAGACCAAGGGUUCCUGUCCAACGUUAAUCGGGGCAGGGUGAGUCGACCCCUAAGGCGAGGCCGAAAGGCGUAGUCGAUGGGAAACAGGUUAAUAUUCCUGUACUUGGUGUUACUGCGAAGGGGGGACGGAGAAGGCUAUGUUGGCCGGGCGACGGUUGUCCCGGUUUAAGCGUGUAGGCUGGUUUUCCAGGCAAAUCCGGAAAAUCAAGGCUGAGGCGUGAUGACGAGGCACUACGGUGCUGAAGCAACAAAUGCCCUGCUUCCAGGAAAAGCCUCUAAGCAUCAGGUAACAUCAAAUCGUACCCCAAACCGACACAGGUGGUCAGGUAGAGAAUACCAAGGCGCUUGAGAGAACUCGGGUGAAGGAACUAGGCAAAAUGGUGCCGUAACUUCGGGAGAAGGCACGCUGAUAUGUAGGUGAAGCGACUUGCUCGUGGAGCUGAAAUCAGUCGAAGAUACCAGCUGGCUGCAACUGUUUAUUAAAAACACAGCACUGUGCAAACACGAAAGUGGACGUAUACGGUGUGACGCCUGCCCGGUGCCGGAAGGUUAAUUGAUGGGGUCAGCGCAAGCGAAGCUCUUGAUCGAAGCCCCGGUAAACGGCGGCCGUAACUAUAACGGUCCUAAGGUAGCGAAAUUCCUUGUCGGGUAAGUUCCGACCUGCACGAAUGGCGUAAUGAUGGCCAGGCUGUCUCCACCCGAGACUCAGUGAAAUUGAACUCGCUGUGAAGAUGCAGUGUACCCGCGGCAAGACGGAAAGACCCCGUGAACCUUUACUAUAGCUUGACACUGAACAUUGAGCCUUGAUGUGUAGGAUAGGUGGGAGGCUUUGAAGUGUGGACGCCAGUCUGCAUGGAGCCGACCUUGAAAUACCACCCUUUAAUGUUUGAUGUUCUAACGUUGACCCGUAAUCCGGGUUGCGGACAGUGUCUGGUGGGUAGUUUGACUGGGGCGGUCUCCUCCUAAAGAGUAACGGAGGAGCACGAAGGUUGGCUAAUC
rnacentral:rRNA from 1 species